rnacentral:rRNA from 1 species
GACGAACGCUGGCGGCGCGCUUAACACAUGCAAGUCGAGCGAGAACCAGUCCUUCGGGGCUGGGGACAGCGGCGAACGGGUGAGUAACACGUGGGUAAUCUGCCCUCGGCACCGGAAUAGCCCGGGGAAACCCGGAUUAAUGCCGGAUGGCCUCUCUGCCCCUCGGGGCGGGGAGAAAAGGUAGCUUCGGCCUCCGGCCGAGGAUGAGCCCGCGGCCGAUUAGCUUGUUGGGGGGGUAACGGCUCACCAAGGCGACGAUCGGUAGCUGGUCUGAAAGGGCGAUCAGCCACACUGGGACUGAGACGCGGCCCAGACUCCUACGGGAGGCAGCAGUGUGGAAUUUUGGACAAUGGGUGCAACCCCGAUCCAGCCAUGCCGCGUGCGGGAAGAAGGCCUUCGGGUUGUAAACCGCUUUUGUCAGGGAAGAAACGGCUUUCUCUAAUACAGAGGGCUAAUGACGGUACCUGAAGAAUAAGCACCGGCUAACUACGUGCCAGCCGCCGCAGUAA